AUGGCCAAUUGGCAGGGUUUGCUGAAGGUGAGGCCGGACAAGACGGUGGAGCUGCUGACGGACGCGGCGGAGGGCCUCAAGUUCGCCCUGACGGACGGCGUGGACAUCGCCGCCGACGGCACCAUCUACUUCACCGACGCCUCGUACAAGUACAGCCUCGCGCACCACUUUCUGGACGUGCUCGAGGCACGGCCCCACGGCCGGCUCAUGAGCUUCGACCCCUCCACGCGCCGGACCUCCGUGCUCGCCCGCGACCUCUACUUCGCCAACGGCGUCGCCGUCGCGCCGGACCAAGACUCACUCAUCUUCUGUGAGACAGUCAUGAGGAGGUGCUCGCGGUACCACAUCAGGGGGAACAAGGCAGGCACGGUGGAGAGCUUCAUCGACAGCCUGCCGGGGCUCCCGGACAACAUCCGAUACGACGGCGAGCAGGGCCGGUACUGGAUCGCGCUCUCGGCGGGGAGGACGCUGCAGUUGGACGUGUUGAUGUGGUCGCCAUUGGUGCGGAAGCUCGUGUACAUGGUGGAGAAGUACGUGAUGGCGGUGCCGCAGGGCCUGAGGGACUCGGGGACGAUGAGCGUGGCUCUAAACGGGGAGCCGGUAACCAUGUACACUGACCCGGGGCUCGCGCUCGCCACCGGCUGGCUCAAGGUCGGGGGCUACCUCUACUACGGGUCGCUGGCAAGCUCCUACAUCAGCAGGGUCGACCUCACCAAAUCAUCCAUCCAAGCCUAG
rnacentral:rRNA from 1 species